rnacentral:tRNA from 1 species
CAUUAAGAAGCUAUGCAUCAGCACUAGCCUUUUAAGCUAGAGAGAGGGGACGCCUCCCCCUUAAUGA